rnacentral:siRNA from 1 species
UGAAAUGGGCGCCAAUAGGAGUC